UCCCUGGUGGCUCAGAUGGUACAGCGUCUGUUUGAAAUAUGGGAGACCCAGGUUUGAUUCCUGAUUUGGGAA
rnacentral:tRNA from 1 species